CAACGCAGCCAAACGCAACACGCAGACAGGCGCAAGGCUGAAGAAGAGAACGCAAGGGGACUGCCAUGUACCUGCUCUGAAGGUCCUUCCCCCAGAGUCGCAACGUUCUCCAAAAUCAGACGCUUGCUAAAACCCAUCUGUAACUGAACGCUCAGCUCUUCUUAAUUUGCACACACUGCGAGCCCUGGGUUGCACCUGCUCUACAGGGAGCACUAUCUUUGGAAGUGGAUGAUGUGCGUUUGAAUCCCUGGAGGUUGAGAAUGGUGCUGAAACCUGAUGUCCAACUUCCUCAGUGAACGAUACACAGUGGUGAUAUGUAAGUGGAAUUUAUUCCUAAUCUGAUCAAUGUGGAGAUUCGUGAUGUGUGUAGAGAAUACAAAUACUAUAUAUGUUUACCAAAGAGGUGAAUUUACUUUUUUUUGUUUACUGCUAUGUUAUCAAUGUCUUUAUCACUAACUUAUUGUAGAUAAUGCAGAUACAAGCACCAACCCUGUCAAGCCAUGCUUUGUUCAUUCUAAAAAGUACUUUGAAUACCUACCUCCAGGAAAGCACGCUGGCCUCUAGCUCUAUAGUGUAUCUGACCAGGAGUAAGCGCUGUGACACCUAACUUAUUUGUGCUAAGUGCUCUGUUGAAACAAAAUUUGAGUGCUUAAUAGACAAUCUUUUAUCAAAUGUAAAUAGACUCUGUGAGUUCUAUACUGCAAGCUUUAAUCUCAGGUUUUGUUAACUUCGUUGCUUCUGUUUCUACUCUGUAAGUUUGUGAAAAGAUAUCAACACUCUAGGUCUUUAAGCAACUUUUUUUUUCUGGAAAUAAACAGUUGCCUCUUUUUUCCUACCUUCAGAAGCUUCAUCAAGUCUGAAUAUUUUUCUUUCAUGGUCAUCAAAUAUGAUUCCCUUGUAAAUGUGAGAUAUGCUUUGUAAGUGUUUUUUAUUCUGACAAAUAACCGCCCCUUUUAUUAUGCUCAUUUUUCCAGACUUGAAUAUUUUACUUACUGUAUAAGUGAAUUGAAAGAAGACCAUCAGAACCCAUUCUCAGAUUUGAAAGGAGAGCAGUUUUGAGUGAUAUCAAGCCAUAUUUUUGUGUCUUAAUAUCUUUUUUCCCUAAAAAUUCAGUAUUAGCAUCGUGUCCAUGUUGUUUUCAUUUUUGACAAAUUCCAAACAUGCAUGGGAUAUUUAUCAUCCAAUUUCAACGUGUCGGACUGAAUAUGAUUAAAUCAAAGAAGAAAACAAACAAAAAUUAGAAAAUUUCCUGCUGUAAACAGCUCUGCAGAUUCUUUAUCGUACUAUUGAUUUUAAGCAGGUUUCCUCAUUGAUUUCAGUGGGGAGUUUGGUUAAAAAUCAGUAGUAUGAGAUGGCCUCUUGAUUGUACCUUAAAAUUGGUACAAAGGAUUGUGGCGGGGGGAGGGACUUUCUACUAGUACCAUUAGUGUGAGAGUUAGUGGGCUGCAUUCUGAUCACAGUCAUUUCUGUUAAGUUUUCCUUUAACAGAGCAUGCCCCACGCAUGCAGAACAGUCUGUACACACGUAGUUCAUACCUCUCUUUAUGCGGGAGUGAACAGACAACACAGUUGCUUUCCACAUCUUCCUGGAAGAUGGAUUUCUACACAUGCAGGGACGCUUGGGAGAGCAGGAAGGAAGUAAGUAGGGAAGCUGGAAGGAAAUAAGUAGUAAUAAGACACAAUUUAGACAAGGGGUAGGGAAGGCAGGCACUCACUUAGUCCCUAUUUCUCACAUAAAUGCAGAUGUAGAACGCCCAGUGCCCUUUAGCUAUGCCCAUGGAUUUGCCACAGGAACUCAGUUUUGUUUUGUGGAGGCAAGCAGCUCCUCAUCCCAAUGCAAAGAUCCCUUAGACUAAUUUUUGCUGAAUUCUCCCGUUCACAAAGAAGCAUUUUCGUAAAGGAGCAGCAUCUUUCUCUUCAUUGGCUUCAGUGGAAUGGGUUCAUAGUUAUAGAGUGGCUUCAGAUCUGUCCUUAAUUCUAUAGUCAAGCUUUAUAUUCAGCUUUCCAAUUAUGUAUAUGUUUUAAAAGUAGCAAGUGACUCAUUGUAAAAAAAAUUGGCAGUUUUGAAAACUUCAGCACAUGUCUAAGAAAUAUGAAGCGAAACUGCAUCCAUGCAAACAUGUAAGCUGGCUUGUUCCAGAUGAACAGUGGGACACAGUGAGGGAGGACAGAGAAGUCCAUCCAUGAGCAGUAAGUGGCUUGAAUGACAGCCGCAGCCUCUAUACCAAUGCAAUUUUCCCUCUUCUUCUGUUGGUCCACCCACAUAAUGGUCUUUCAGGUUAGCCAAAGCCGAAACAGAGAUUGUAGUCAUUAACAUCUAUGGAACUAGAAUGGAUUUAUACUGGUGUAUACUUUGUUUUUUUCUGGAUCUCAGCUUGCAAUAAACUUCAGAAGGGCACUCAAAAAUGUGAAGAGUGGCUUUGUUGAUGCAAGUAUAUUUACCUCAGUGCUAUUUCUAGAAAUGCUUCAAAUAAAAAUAAUAUAUUUGCUAUUGAAGUGAGAAACUUAGCAAUCACAGAUCAAAAAAAAAUCUGCACAUAAAUGGAUUUACAGGCAAAUUCUUGGAAGAAAAUUAAAGCUAAUUAUCAUAUAAUUUCUGACUACUGUAAUAUGAUAAAACAUGAAACAUACCUUUCAAGGUAUGCAGUCUUACAGAACUCACAUUGUUAUAAUAAGCGUAGUUCACAAAGGUAGCUCCUUUUCUUUUAAUUCUAUGUUUUUCAUAGCUUGGGAUUUUCCAAGCAAUUCUGGAGAGCCAUUUGUUGGAUAGCUUUCAAAUUCUUGAUUCAUUUCAAUAGAAAUGAGCUCUGAUAUUUGAUAAUCGACAUUACUAAUUAUUACGAUUAACUUGGAGACUUUGAAUUUAAAAUUGAAGGGUCAAAAUUAGAUGAAGGCAUUCCAAUACUUUACUCACAAUAAAAGUAAUAGAAUUUUUGGAAAAUCUGAAGUCAUUAUAUGGGCUGGCUGCAUUGUAAACAAAAGCUUUUAAAAACUCAGGAUUUUGUUUUCUUUCUUACCUACAUCUGAGAAAUGAGGAAGAAUAAAUUCCAUUCUGAUGAAGAUCUAGAAGUCAGAUAAAGUCAGAAAUUGAAUGAUUUCUUUCUCUCUCUCACACACACACACACACACACACACACACACACACACACACAUAUACAUGUAGAUGAAAACUAACACUUGCUGCUAGUUCUUAUGCAUGACCACUAGGUGCUGCCUGGUCACUGUAGUAUAUAAAAGCUACUCAGUCUCAUAGUGAGAGGAGAGUAUGUGAAUUUUUCGUAGUAUCAAACUGAAUUUGCUUUCUAAUGUAGUCUGUGGAAAAACUCGGAAUAAAGCUAAAAAUAUGGUCGAGGGCUUAUGUUCUGUAAUUAGGGAAAGCAUUUGUUCUACCACUUAAUCUUGAACCCUCAAUUACUGACAUGAUGAAUAAAAAGGUAUCAAGAAAAUCCUGCAAAAAGCCCUUCCAAUGUUUUAAGAAAGAAAAACACCCCCCCCCCCCUUUUCAUAUCCUGGCCUGACUGGCAUAGAAGGGAUUUACUGUUGGGUGAUUACUGAAAAUUGAAAAAUGUAAUUAAGGUUCACUUAAAAGUUUCUAAUCUCACUUUAGCUCUGAUGCUCAUUAGCAUCUUAAAUGUGACAUCCUUUGUUUUUUAAAUAGCAAAUGAAGAGCUGGGCUCUUAGAGUUAAUACUCAAUCCUUUCUAAUAUAUUUCAUUACCUGCUAAUUCUGUAUAUGCAACUUCAGAUUAAAGACAGGCAGGAAUAGAAGAAGAAAGUUUUUCUGCAAUGGUUAUAAUAGAAAGAAGUAACACAAAUCUCUAACUUUAAACAAGCCUAUCCAUAAUAGUUGUAAUUAUACUUAAGAAUGAAAUUCCAAUGGCAAUCACAACAUGUGACAAACAAGAUGAAACUCAAGGCUGCAUGAAAUGGCUCAGAAACCUUUGUGAUUCUGCUGUGCUUAACAAACCUGUAUUCUUAUCUUCUAAAAGAUGGACUAGGUUGAGAACGAAUAAGAGACAAAAAAUAGAAAUAAAAGGCAUGGAUAGUGUGUCAAUAUUAGCGUGUUAUGAUAAAUUAAACUCUUAUUGAAAUAAAACAUAGUAUGAAGAAAGCAGUGUUAUCACCACUGUCUUCUUUCCUAGUGAAGAAGAGAUGACAUUUCAUUCUGUCUUUAACUCAAAGAGAGCAUUUUCUUCAGCAGCAAGAAUAUCAGGAUGUGAAACUAAUGUAGAAAGGCAGACUGACCAUUACCACAAGUUUAUGUAAAUAUUUAGUUUAGUGUUAGUUUAGUUUAGUUUAUCAGGACAUGCCGGUAGAGUGACCCUAAGGAUGAAGCUGUACCCAUAUUGUUUUCAAGGUCUGGGAAAAAAUACAUAUUUUAGUGCUUGAGUAAACAGUAAAUACAGUUAUUAGUAGCCUAAGUAAAGAGAUUAACCACCUCUGCAAAAACCUGUCUAUUAAUGCUGCAUGUAAAGAUUGCCCUAAGGGCAUAUGUAAUCAUGUUACAGAAUGCCUGAGGGAGUGGGAUAACGGUGAGUAUGGGUAAGAUUCUGAAGCAAAAUUUAGAGUCCAGAAAAAGCUGCGUGUUCAACUCUCAGUUUCCCCGCUCUUUAAUAACAGUCUGGAAAUUAUAUAUCUCUGAAUGUUUUAAUCUAGAAAAUGUAGCCUGAAUCAAAACACACUCCAUGUGAGAUUUAUCAGCUAGAAAUCCCAGCUCCACUUAAGCUAGUGGGAGGUUGUUUUUUUCACCUCUGAUUUCAGUAUGGCGAGAAUCCGUCCAUCACUGCUUUGGCUGUGCUUUCACUUUAAGCACUGGAUAAUAAGUGCAGGCUGCGAGCCGUUGCGUGGAACAGGCAACACAUUGCUGUCAAUGUUUCCUAAACCUUGCCUUUCACAGCCGUAGCCAGGUCUGGGACCAUACAGACACAGUGUUCGUUGCUGCAGAUGUUCUCUCCAUUUGCAGAGCAAGACUUGGCAUCAACUAUUCAUAUUGGCAGAGCUGAAUGACAUUUAUACAAACGUGGAUAAAAGAAAACUGCUAUGUAGUAGAAGUGGGGAGAGUUCAGACUGUGUAUUCCAUGCCACUGUUUCAUUGUAAUGCACAUUUUGUUUCCUAGCACUAAAGAUGAGUAUGACCUAGGGAGGACUCAAGUUGUUUGCAUCAGUUCCCUCUCAGGGGAUUAGCCAGGAAAAAAAAAAAAGAUUUAAAUCGUAUCUAGGAUACUGAAGAAGUACUGGUGGCAGAGCCUACCCCAGGGAACAGUGACUGUCAGUGUGGUGUCAAAGCUUGAAAGUCCAAAUUCCUGAAAACCUCUCAGUUAAUUUGUUAUUUUCAGUUACACAAGGCUAGCUUGACCAAAGGACCUCCUUACUGAACGACACUGUUCGGAUAUUAGCAUGUAAGUGCCAGGCUUAUGUAUGAUCACACUGUUGCCCAUGUUACACGCUUUACACCUGUAUAUGUAGUGAAGCUGUCUUCUUUAUGACAGUAAUUGUAAGGUCACUGUAAUGAACAUCUAAUUUUGUGGAUGAACCAGAAUAUUUACUGUGGGUGAGAAAGAAGGGUAUCUGCUAGUAUCUUCUAAAAUUAAAUAUAUUUUAUCAGUAAUUCAUAUUGUGAUAAGAUCUUUUUGAAAUGACAUUAAAUAACAGUAAUUUUCAAGUGACUCUUGGAAAUCUCAGGAUAUUCUAGUGAGGCUUUUCCAGCAUUGUUCUAGAAAGAGUGAAGGGAAUUGCUCAGCCGUCUAUUUAUUUGUUUAGAUUGCAUACAAAUAGUUAGUUCUGUUAAAAAUAAAAUUGUAAACUUACACUGUCAGUCAACAUCACUUCAUGAUUAGGAAACAACCUUGUGUUGCAAGACUUAAGAAAUUCAAGACUUCAGUUGUAUUAAAUUUUAUCAGAGAGAAAUUUAAUCGCUGGGUAUCAAUAUUUGCACAUGGAAAAAAUAGCAGUCUGUCAGUGGGCCAAACCCAGCCCCUGGCCAUGGCUAAGACUGCGCACCCGAAUUAGGCAUGCAGUGCAGCUGAGUGACUGAGGACCUGAAUUUUGAUCUUUGGGCUGUGAGGGAAAGAAAUGGCACCUGUAUCACUUGUGAUAUCCUGCGGUAUUGCCUACACCAUCUGCUGCAGUCUGCAGAGGCCAUGCUGCUGGCUGAAGGUCAGUGCCACCUGUCUACCUUCUGCCCUCAGGCACAACCCUUCCUGUGAAACUAGGAGCGUUGAUGACCAUGGAGGUAACUUGCUUCAGCAAAGCAUAAAGUAACAUUCGAUGCUGAGCCCCAUACCGUGUUAUUUCUGGAAAACAACUAAUUCUUCUCCCAGUUCCACAAUUCCUUCCUUUAUCUCCAAAGACAAAUUUGUUCAUGAGAAAACUUCAUCUCCCCACAAUACUACUUGUGUAAUGUGAAACGAAGGCUAUCUAGGAGGUAAAAAUAAUCCAGCAGCCUGUGUGCAUAGCUAUGUUGGUUACUACCAACUCUUCGCAAUGGAGCAAGCACUUAUUUAUGGGAGUGAAGAGCCAAGCGUCUCACUACCAACCUGUGAAGAAGAAACUAUGUAUACCAUUACCAUUAAGAUAUCAUCUGCGUUAUGUAUACUUUCAUAUGCCUCAAGUAUUUUGAGUUUCACUUAGAAAGGACCAGUUUGACAAUUGAACAAAUUAAAGUAGGAUCCAUUUCACCAAAAGACGGAGAUUUUAUAUGGUUAAUAGAGUAGGCCCUCUCACUUUGAUUAACAAGCUGAUCAUCCCUCUAUUGCUGACUUGCACGGAGCCUGCAACAAAGGGAUUCUCUCUCCCCUCCAGUACUUCAUACACUGGUGGAAUGACCUACAAUGUUCCUAAGCACAAAUACAAGGCAUCGCAGCCUUUCAGAAUUUAUGCUUUCCAAAUGAAAGGGCUUAGCUUUGUAAUUUUACGCACUAGAAAGGUAAUUUUAUGUAUACUUGAUAUAGAACCCCUUUGUCCAAAUAAUCCUCUGAAACAAGGACAUACAGAUUGCUCAAAUAUGAAUGAUCAUAUUCUUGGGUUAUUCAGAACGAGAAAUACAAAUAUCCAUUUUAAAGGACUGCUGUCUUUGCACCAGAUCUACUUUUUCUAUACAGGAGCCUGUUUCCUCUCCUACUCAUUAGCCUGCAGGCAAGGCAGUUCUGUUGGACUUCGUUCCUUAAGCAGCAAACUAGUGCCUUCACCUUUCAUGAUCUUCCUUGACCUCUAGAUCCUCCCUAUAAAGCCUUUUUUUUUCCUUUUCUGUUUACCUUCAGUGGUUUUUGAGUGCUUCUUUCAGUAGGAAAAGCGCUAACAGGGUCUGUGGCGAUCUAUGCCUUCUACAUUUUACAGAGUUUGAAAGAGAGUGCCUUUCUAAUGGUACCCCAUCUUCCUAGCUCCAAUCAGAGUGGACUGUUCAUUACUUGGUUAGAAGAAGCCUGAGCUAAAAUUAUUCAGUAUUUUGAGAAUCAGAUCUCUCCCUUUCUGUCCAAUCUAUCCCAGAGCUACUUUUCAGAGUUCCCCCUUGGCUGUACUUCUUUAUGCUUUCCCUUCCUCAUUUGAUUCUUAAAUGACCUUCGUCUUAUGACUUUCUUUUUAUGAAAGCCUACAGUCCACCUAGAAGAAAUCUCAGAUAAGAUGAGCAAAGAUUAACAAAAGAAGUCCUGCAGAGCCACUUGCACAACAUUAUGCUUUUUAAAUCUAAAUCUGAUUUUUAAAGAAAAGAUGUUAAUUACUGUGUACUAGUCUAAGGACCUCUAAUUACAUAUUCAUUUUUACUGACUUAACUGAUGGCAGAGGGUGGAUCAGUAAUGAUCUCUGGCUACAUAGUGCUUUUUUUCCUUUCGAUGAAAGGACGAGAGAUAAUUAUAGGACAAGAAAACAGUUAUAUGCAUACAGAAAAAAAUUUUAGUGUCUUAUCUUGUACAAAGCUGCCAAGAGAAAACUUUCAAUGUGUAGAUUCAUUUUAGUUUAUAGAAAGACUUACUUUUUGUUUUUCCUCUAAACACUAGUUCUUCAGAGGCUGAGAAUAUUUUGCAUGCUGCAUUAUUUAGUUAUUUAGCCCCAGUGUGGAUUUACAUCUUAUGGGAGGGAAAAUCUGCCAAAAUUCAAAGCACUUUCUGAAAUGUUUUAUUGACUCUAUGUCAGGUGGUUCUAACCCUUUCAGUGAACCACAGAUUUGAAAAACAGGAAUUUUAAAGCCAGUAUAAAAUAUUCCAACUACUGGAAACUCCUAUGAUCGGCAGCAAUCCCAAAUGACAUUUCAACUUGUGCUUUUGCUAUUUUUAAAGAUCAAUUUUUCUUAUAGCUCCAGUGGCAAUGGGUAUUAUUUGAAUUUAAAUGGUUUCCAGAAUAUUUAAUAAGUCUUCUGACUGCAAAGAACUAUACUUAUCACAUUAAUAAAGCUAGACCAUCUGCUUUCUGCCUUGAUCAAUACGUUAGUUGUUAAGGAAGGGAUAAAUCUGUGCUAUAAAUUGUAGCUAUUUCUUUGCCCUCCAAGCCCUUUCAAUUCAGUUUUUUAAAAAAGCAAAGAGAAAUGUGUCCUCCUCCCCAGUCCUUAACAAAUAUUACUGUGACUCAGAAAUGCAAUUUGAGAUUAGGUUAUUUCCAUUUCAAAAGGCCCUUUAAGAAGGACAGAUAUGUGGAAGAUGCAAAGCCACUGGAGUCUUUGUGGACCACAAUUUCUGAACUGUAAUAGACUUUUGUUUUAUUUAUUAUUAAUAAGAUGCACCACAAGAUGGCUCUCUAACAACAAAAAUACUCAAAAAAGCCAGUGCUGGUUCUAAGAAUAGUUGCUGAGUUCUGACUGGGAGCCAGUCUGCAGGCACAGACCUGCGUGUGGUGCUGUUGGAGCUGAGGAGAAGCAGCUUAGCCACCCUUACAGUGCCAAAUGCAUCACUGUUUUUUUUUCCUGGAUGAUGUUACUUGCUUGCAGGAGCAAUUAGGAUGUAACAGUGCUCACUCAGAAGUGUGACAGUAAAUAGCCAUGUCUUCCUGUGACAAGUUAAUGGUGCAUUUAUUAUGUAGAGGCUGUUUAGAGCGCAGGGUGCGAUAGCACAAGAACUUGGUGGCAUUGGUAGCUGAAGAAUAAUUUCAGAAUAAUUUGUUUCCAAUUUAGAGUGAAAAAAAAAUGAAGCAUUUGCUCUUGGUUUGUACACUUUUGUUCUCUACUAUCAGUUUGAAAGGAAUAUAAGCAAGUUCCAAACCUCUGUUUAUUUACAGAAAUGAUGUACACAACUACUAGUUGACCAAUGCCCCAGUUUGCUUGUUGGAAAUGAAAACUUGCAUAAGAGUGGGGAGAGAAUACUCAGGUGGAAAAUAGAUAACCAGUAAAAAUAUCAACCACGACUUCUGUGCAGUAACAGUCUUAAGAUAUGCACAGUCAGAGGUGACUAGUAAAGGCUGAUCUCCCAAUAAACAUGUAUUCAUCUUCCUAGGGAUGAAGCACCAAACCUUUAUAUUCUUGUCCUUCAUCUCCCAGGUUAUUGUCAAAAAGUGGAACAUCCCUCCCUGUCGCCAAAGCUGAGCACAAACUUCAGUUCUUUUGAAGAGUGCAGCCAUUUUGGGGGGGAAACUUUGAGCAGCCUCCAUAGUUCCAGCAUGAGAGCCCAUAGAGCCAUUCUUGAGGUUUAAUGCCCUGGACACCCAAAAGGUGAAGAGUCUAGUCUUACUAGUCUAGUUUAGUUGAACUCCCCUUGGAGUUUAAGUGCAAAUUCAACAGGACACCAGAAGAAACACUCAGCAUCUCAGACUGAAUCCCCAGUUCUUGCUGUGUGGAUAUGAGCAAGGCCAGGGUCAGACACUUGGAAGUGAGAGGAAACGUCAGAAAUUAUCCUUAGUUGCUCAUCAUCAUGGAUGCUAGCUGCAAUUCAGUAAUUGCCAGCAUGAGCACUUUUGUUCCGUGUGAGGAGAAAAACCAUAAAUUCGCCUGUUUGAGUUUGCCCUGAGAUGGAGCAGAACUGCCCUUGUAGUCAGUUACCAGCUCUUAGGUAGGUACUAUAAAGGUAGAGGUAAAGGUGCUAUAGGCAAAAAAGCAGAUUAGUUCAAACCAUCUUCUGCAGCUUGCUCAGGCAGCACAUCCUGAAACAAAGUGCUUGCAUAGUCAGAUGUAGCAAGGGUGUGAUGCUAGAAUCUGCUUUUCCUACCCUCCUAGCUGCCAGCUGUGACUUCAGUCCCGGUGCCUGGCUGCAACUGUGUGGAAAGGCUUAGUGAGUACCAAUACAUCAAAAGUAAACACAAAUUUAAUAGGUUAGUGGGUUUGCUGUGACUGAGCUUGGGAUAGAGAGCUUAGUCACAACCCAGUGUUAUUAUGGCUCUGAUAGAGACCACUUCACAGAAGCUUGUGGUGCUAGUAAUGAAGUGUAAGAGGAUUACUAUUUUGGACAGAGAUUUACAUCUAGUCUUCCCAGCUCUAAUAAGGAACGGUGCUAACCUGCCUAAAACCGGAUCUAGACUUCCCCAAAGCUUAACAGGGUUCUGAAUGGAGACUUUGAUUCAGGCAAAGUAUCUAUAGAUGUGCAGAUCUGUGGAACCAGGUCUGCUCUUUAAGACUCUCUGGCACUCUGUACAGUUCCCUGUGGAGCAGUCCAGCAAAAUUACCAGGAUAAAAGCUCUGCCUUGCAGUUUCUCAGCCCUGUCCAGGUUUCUUCUAAAGGGCUCUUGCUGCCUGGGUGUCCUUUUUUGUUACUACCCUUUAGGUAAAGCGUCUUUCUCAGGGGUACCUGCACUGUUUUGCACUAAGGUAACAGUAAGUUGCAGACAGUGCCAGCAGGGUUGUAGUUGUAACAUGGCUAUGGGUUGGUUGGUACGGGGAGGAUGUGUUAGACGCUGAAAUGGCUGGAUUAAACUGCGAGCUGCAUCUGUUUUCCACACAUUAUUUCGUGCUUACCACUCACGUAACACCCUGCUUGCUCCUUUCAGUGGGAGGGUAGUCCCAGUUACAGCUUGAAGUAAACUUAGUUUAAUAAAAAUGGCCCGCUCUAGGUGGUACUAGGACACAGAGGGUCCCUGUCCUUGCUGGGUGGACCAGUCAGAUUGUCCCUUGGGACACAGUUACUUGGCUGUGGAUGCCUCCAGACCUUCUCUCACCUGCAUCCAGACAAUGCCCCACCAUUCACCUGGUGAGGAUGGUUAUCCCUCCUCAGGAUCUGUGGCUGUUGUGGACUCAAGACUUUGCUGAAAGCUCAGCAGCUCUCGUAGCCGUAUACCUACUGAAAGUAAUUCAACAAACAUGGAGAAGAAAAACAAGACUCUACGCUCCACCAGCCCUCUGCAAGACAGACUAGGUCUGCUUUUCCUUUCAUUUGCACCUACAUCCUUGGCACAAUUUUCCGCCCUCACUGUUCUUUGGCAGGAGCUUCAUCCACAGAGGAUGCAGCGUCACCUGUGCAGCGGGUGGAAACACUGAAGCCUGGGCUGCAUUUCUGCUUUCCUGGCUCAGAACUGGAGUAGCUGGCACAGCGGUGACAACGCUGCCGGUCCAGCAGGUCUAGCAUUUGCAGCAAUGCCAAAAAGAGUGCUCAAGCAAAGUGUGAAUAGAAACAAGAAAUUGGUGUCUCUAGUAUGGGGAUAAGACAAAAGAAAAUAUACACCCAGUUCCGCAGAAAACCCAAUGGAGCACUUUAUAACCAGCUGGAUCUUUUACAUGACAUGUGGCACAAGUUGCACAAGGGCUUCCAGGCCCAGAUGUAGCUGCAGUGGAAACAGUGGAAGCACAGUGGCUGCAGCAGCAUCUUGUGACCUGGAGCAGGUGUGCUGCACUGGGCAGUGCCUUUGAGGAGCUACAGUCCUUUUAAUCUCUCCCCUGUCCCUCUUUGAUAUAUCCUAAUAUGGAUUUUUCCAUAUACUGCAAUACCUUCACAAGAACAAAGGGGUUUUUGAUAUCUAAAGGAUAACAAGAAAGAACAUGCUGAAUAUAAAUUGCAUAUAAAUUACAUAUGCUACCCUAUUUAUUUAUAUUUAACAAUUUAUUGUUGAAACUUAGAAUGACAGAGGUAGAUUGACCAGUUGGAACAUGCCAGUAUUGUUCUUUGGCAAGUGAUGUUUUGUCACGGGACUGUCACAUUAUCAUUACAGUUGGUGUGUCAUGGAGACAACUGGGAAAAGAUAUAACUCAGUGGGAAUCUCGUGAUCUUAUUGUAGGUUAAAACUCACAAAUCUUUGCAGAUUUAAAUGUAGGAAAAUGUCUUUCAAAAAUUGAGUUGUGAUUAAACUGAUAGUUAAUAAUGAAAACAAUAACAGUGCCUUGUAAAUAGUGUAACAGUAUACUCUGCGUGUGCUCAAAAGUUAGCAGUUUGAGUGAACUCAAAAGUUAGCAGUUUGAGUGAACUGAGUAUAAAUGAAAAUAAAACCCAACAGGUGUUAUCAGUGGGUUUCAAAUUUAUCACUACUCUACCGUGAAAUUUCCAGUCUGUGACUCAAGUAAUGAUACUUUGAAGCCUUAAGUGAUACAGCACAAAAGAGCAGCCAGUACAGAACACAGAAAUGACACUCACGUGGACUCAACAUGUAAGGCCACAAUAUGGAACAACAGGGAACAAAAUUAUGGAGAUGCUCUCAUUGCUUUCCAAGGUAAUGUGGGAUGGGAGGAGUAGACACCUCUUUGAGAAAAAUAUUCCCUUCUAAAAAAAAUCUUACUUUUUGACUUAGACAGUAGUGAAUAAUAUUCUUAAGGUAUCAAAGCGUCAGCCAGUGUAGUAUUUCAUCUUGUGAGAUCUGUCUCAUUAAUCCGUAUGUCCCCCAUGCCAUACUAGGUUAUGUGGGUGUAUGUGGUUUUCUUAGAUCUGGGAGUCUCCAGGAGGAUGUCACACCGCUAUUAGUGUCAGAAGAGACAACAUUUUUUUCCUCCAUGUGGGAAGCUUAUGGUCCUAGGCAGCUGACAGGGCACCAGAAACCCUUCUUUUUUCAUUUUUAUAACUGAGGAGUGCCACCCAUUGAUUUCCUAUUGGUGGAUACAAAGACAGGCAUAGGUAGCAGUUUAGACCUAGCUGGAACACCAUGUUAAAGCCAUUCCUGAAACCUGAUGCUAGAUGCGUCAGGAAGAGUGUCUUGCCCCGUUCUCCAUUGUUGUGCCAAGGUUUUUUGGGUAUUCUAUUUAAAAUCAAUGCUCUGUCAAAAUAUAGUCAGUACAUUCAAUGUCUUGGAGAUGUUUUCUACUGCGGAUGUAACCAUUAGCUUAGGAAGCAAUCAAUAGGUUAAAAAAAAUCUGAAAAAUCUCUUCAUCUAGCAAGCAUAUCUUUCAGGCUUGUAUGCUACAAAAUACACUCAUAGCAGCUCUUCUAGGGUUAGUCCUGUAAAUAUGAAGGUGCAUGAGUUCCUUCGUGCAGAUAAACUGCAGCAGACCUAAUUCCCUGGAAGAAGUUACUCAUAUGCCUUAGUGCCUACAGGACUUGGAGGUUCUGUGUUUGCAUGAUACAGUUACAACUGCCAAGUUUAAUGGUGUAUAAGUGGUUAAAUUCUUGCAUGAAAGAGAUUCCAUAGUAGUGUAGUAGAAGUCUGUGCAUUGGUCCAAGGGAUUGUUUUCUACAAAAUUCUGUACUAAAUUACAAUAAUAAUACUUUAUUUGCUUAAUGUCAAGCUGUCAUCAAUCCCAUGCAAAUUGUUAGCUUAGCAACAAAACACCAUGUAAUUGUCACUACAAUUUUAAGCCUCAGCAGUCUUGAUUUUCAAAAUACUAAUUCAUCAAUAGACCAUUGUAAAGAUUUUAAGCUCCAACAGGACUGCAGUAAGAAAGCUCUUUAUCUGUGAUGUCAAUAAGCUGAGUUGAGACAAGAAACUAGAUUCAUGAAAGUGAUGAGUAAAUAUAUAUAUUUUAACAGUAAUGAAUAAAUGACAACCCUAUUAAUCAUUUAUCCACUCUCAGCUUUAACAAACAGUUCUAGUGAUAACGACUAAAUUUUGUUUGCAUUAAAAAAGUAAACUGACACAGAGCUAAGAUAGUUAAAAAGGGCCUAGUUCGAUAUUCAUAAAUGCUAGCUUUGUAUAAGGAACCGUAGUUGGUAAUUGCAACUAGGACUAUUCAUUUCGUUUUUUAAAAGUAGAUACCUGGGAAUGCCAUUCAGUCAUUACUCAGAAUUACUUGUUAUCUUUGAUGAACUUAGUCUGUGCUUUCAUCUGGUACCAGACCUCAUGCUAAUGCCAAUCAAGAAAGUAAAUAUGCAGAGAAAAAAAAAAUUGGGAUGCAAAUUUUAAAUAUGCAUGGUGUCAUUUUCAUUCUGUUUCCAGUGAAUCAGAGACUGCAGUGGCAGCACCUUCUUUGAAAGUGCUACCAUUGGGACUAGAAGGGGUAUCACUACUCUUAGAGAAAUCCAUCUCUAUUGUUGUGACAAGAAAUUUGCUGUAAAAGGGGAUUUUUCCUAUCCCUCAGUCCUUUUCAUUUGUUCCCUUUCUUAUACCAAUUUCAAGCCACUCACCCAUAUCCUGCACAUUAGAGCUGGUCGGAACACGCUAUUCAUUUAUCUUACGGGAAGUAGGCUGCUUCACCAGUCGGAUGUUUUGCAGAAAGGUAUCAGUUUUCAGGGAGGCCUUUUCUGCGAAGGUUUGAAAAGGGAGAAGGAGAGCCCAUGUCCCAGGACAGCGCUGUAACUGCCAGGAAUCGCACACGCGCCAAAUCAGAAACCUGGAUUCUAGAAACAGGCAUUUCAACACUGUUCCAUUUUCAUGCAAAGAACUGAAAAGGUUGGUUUUUAUCCUGGUACAAAAUAACAACAGCAGCAACAAUAAAUGUCACAACCUGAAGAACUGCCACAAAACAGAAAUGUCAUCCUCUGGUCAACUUCUGGAUACAUGUAGCUUGGAGACAUAGCUCAGCAUCUAAGACCAAAAAAAAAAAAAGAUGUAGCUGUUUUUCUGCGAUCAGCUUUUGUUUUUCCUGUCAUUGUAGCUAAAAUACCUAUUUAAAGUUUUCCUGUAGUACCUGUCCCCAUCCCCUCUAAGUACUGCACAGGAAGUUUUCAAAUACAGACAUUCAAUAAACAACAGCAACAACAAAUAAGAAUGUCACGGAGGCAAUUAUUCCUAUUGUUGCCUUUGAAAAGCUCUCACUGAAUCAUUAAACAUCCUCAGUUUUCUCUAACCCCAGUACAUUUACCAGUGGGGAGAUAAAUGCUCUUUUGAAGUUAUGGGUCAUUUUUCAAAAUGUUGCUUUCCUGCUAUUUUCUGUUCUUUUUUCUCAAGAUGACGCUACUCCAUGGUGAUGCUGGUUAGUACAUUAGCUCCGUACCUCUGAAGAGCUGGAUGAAGGAUUUUUGGCCUUUCAUACUUGUCCCUUGUAUUUAUUCAGUCAUAAACUAUAGCACAGUUACUAUAAAAGCAGGAGGAAACGUAGGCCAGAACUGGAGCAGGCAGCACAGUGCGAGCUUGGAGAGGAGGAUAACUGCAAGGGAAACAGUUGUUAAUGCUAGCAGACCUGUUUAAACCUGAAUUAGGUUGAGCUGUCGCUGAGGUCAAUGCAUUGUAUCAGCUAUACCAUGGUGAAAUGAGGACUUAACCCCACUUCUUCUGCUUUUUGAAGGUUUGGUGUCUUGCUGUUUAACAAGAAAAUCACUGCUCUCACACCACCCUUGGAGAACGACUGACUAGGCAAUCACCUUGAAGGAUAGCUAUUUGCAUACAGUGUUGCGAAUACUGGAUUUCUGAACACAGGCUUCUGUUAACUUGUUCCUUCUAUUUCAA